rnacentral:rRNA from 1 species
GAUGAACGCUGGCGGCGUGCCUAAUACAUGCAAGUCGAACGCGAGAGGAGGGAGCUUGCUCCCUCUGAUCGAGUGGCGGACGGGUGAGUAACACGUAGGCAACCUGCCCAUCAGUCCGGGAUAACCGCGGGAAACCGUGGCUAAUACCGGAUGAUCCUCUCCACCGCGGGGUGGGGAGUUGAAAGACGGUUUUGGCUGUCGCUGAUGGAUGGGCCUGCGGCGCCGUAGCUGGUUGGCGGGGUAAGGGCCCACCAAGGCAGCGAUGCGUAGCGGGCCUUAGACGGCGACCGGCCACGCGGGGACGGAGACACGGCCCAGACUCCUCCGGGAGUCAGCAGUAGGGAAUCUUCCGCGAUGGACGCAAGUCUGACGAACCAACGCCGCAUGAGUGAAGAAGGGUUUCGGCUCGUAAACCUCUGUUGUUAAGGAAGAACGACAGGUAGAGUAACUGCUACCUGUGUGACGGUACUUAACCAGAAAGCCACGGCUAACUACGUGCCAGCAGCCGCAGUAA